UUAAGCGACUAAGCGUACACGGUGGAUGCCCUGGCAGUCAGAGGCGAUGAAGGACGUGCUAAUCUGCGAUAAGCGUCGGUAAGGUGAUAUGAACCGUUAUAACCGGCGAUUUCCGAAUGGGGAAACCCAGUGUGAUUCGUCACACUAUCAUUAACUGAAUCCAUAGGUUAAUGAGGCGAACCGGGGGAACUGAAACAUCUAAGUACCCCGAGGAAAAGAAAUCAACCGAGAUUCCCCCAGUAGCGGCGAGCGAACGGGGAGCAGCCCAGAGCCUGAAUCAGUGUGUGUGUUAGUGGAAGCGUCUGGAAAGGCGCGCGAUACAGGGUGACAGCCCCGUACACAAAAAUGCACAUGUUGUGAGCUCGAUGAGUAGGGCGGGACACGUGGUAUCCUGUCUGAAUAUGGGGGGACCAUCCUCCAAGGCUAAAUACUCCUGACUGACCGAUAGUGAACCAGUACCGUGAGGGAAAGGCGAAAAGAACCCCGGCGAGGGGAGUGAAAAAGAACCUGAAACCGUGUACGUACAAGCAGUGGGAGCACGCUUAGGCGUGUGACUGCGUACCUUUUGUAUAAUGGGUCAGCGACUUAUAUUCUGUAGCAAGGUUAACCGAAUAGGGGAGCCGAAGGGAAACCGAGUCUUAACUGGGCGUUAAGUUGCAGGGUAUAGACCCGAAACCCGGUGAUCUAGCCAUGGGCAGGUUGAAGGUUGGGUAACACUAACUGGAGGACCGAACCGACUAAUGUUGAAAAAUUAGCGGAUGACUUGUGGCUGGGGGUGAAAGGCCAAUCAAACCGGGAGAUAGCUGGUUCUCCCCGAAAGCUAUUUAGGUAGCGCCUCGUGAAUUCAUCUCCGGGGGUAGAGCACUGUUUCGGCAAGGGGGUCAUCCCGACUUACCAACCCGAUGCAAACUACGAAUACCGGAGAAUGUUAUCACGGGAGACACACGGCGGGUGCUAACGUCCGUCGUGAAGAGGGAAACAACCCAGACCGCCAGCUAAGGUCCCAAAGUCAUGGUUAAGUGGGAAACGAUGUGGGAAGGCCCAGACAGCCAGGAUGUUGGCUUAGAAGCAGCCAUCAUUUAAAGAAAGCGUAAUAGCUCACUGGUCGAGUCGGCCUGCGCGGAAGAUGUAACGGGGCUAAACCAUGCACCGAAGCUGCGGCAGCGACGCUGAUGCGUUGUUGGGUAGGGGAGCGUUCUGUAAGCCUGCGAAGGUGUGCUGUGAGGCAUGCUGGAGGUAUCAGAAGUGCGAAUGCUGACAUAAGUAACGAUAAAGCGGGUGAAAAGCCCGCUCGCCGGAAGACCAAGGGUUCCUGUCCAACGUUAAUCGGGGCAGGGUGAGUCGACCCCUAAGGCGAGGCCGAAAGGCGUAGUCGAUGGGAAACAGGUUAAUAUUCCUGUACUUGGUGUUACUGCGAAGGGGGGACGGAGAAGGCUAUGUUGGCCGGGCGACGGUUGUCCCGGUUUAAGCGUGUAGGCUGGUUUUCCAGGCAAAUCCGGAAAAUCAAGGCUGAGGCGUGAUGACGAGGCACUACGGUGCUGAAGCAACAAAUGCCCUGCUUCCAGGAAAAGCCUCUAAGCAUCAGGUAACAUCAAAUCGUACCCCAAACCGACACAGGUGGUCAGGUAGAGAAUACCAAGGCGCUUGAGAGAACUCGGGUGAAGGAACUAGGCAAAAUGGUGCCGUAACUUCGGGAGAAGGCACGCUGAUAUGUAGGUGAAGUCCCUCGCGGAUGGAGCUGAAAUCAGUCGAAGAUACCAGCUGGCUGCAACUGUUUAUUAAAAACACAGCACUGUGCAAACACGAAAGUGGACGUAUACGGUGUGACGCCUGCCCGGUGCCGGAAGGUUAAUUGAUGGGGUUAGCGCAAGCGAAGCUCUUGAUCGAAGCCCCGGUAAACGGCGGCCGUAACUAUAACGGUCCUAAGGUAGCGAAAUUCCUUGUCGGGUAAGUUCCGACCUGCACGAAUGGCGUAAUGAUGGCCAGGCUGUCUCCACCCGAGACUCAGUGAAAUUGAACUCGCUGUGAAGAUGCAGUGUACCCGCGGCAAGACGGAAAGACCCCGUGAACCUUUACUAUAGCUUGACACUGAACAUUGAGCCUUGAUGUGUAGGAUAGGUGGGAGGCUUUGAAGUGUGGACGCCAGUCUGCAUGGAGCCGACCUUGAAAUACCACCCUUUAAUGUUUGAUGUUCUAACGUGGACCCGUAAUCCGGGUUGCGGACAGUGUCUGGUGGGUAGUUUGACUGGGGCGGUCUCCUCCUAAAGAGUAACGGAGGAGCACGAAGGUUGGCUAAUCCUGGUCGGACAUCAGGAGGUUAGUGCAAUGGCAUAAGCCAGCUUGACUGCGAGCGUGACGGCGCGAGCAGGUGCGAAAGCAGGUCAUAGUGAUCCGGUGGUUCUGAAUGGAAGGGCCAUCGCUCAACGGAUAAAAGGUACUCCGGGGAUAACAGGCUGAUACCGCCCAAGAGUUCAUAUCGACGGCGGUGUUUGGCACCUCGAUGUCGGCUCAUCACAUCCUGGGGCUGAAGUAGGUCCCAAGGGUAUGGCUGUUCGCCAUUUAAAGUGGUACGCGAGCUGGGUUUAGAACGUCGUGAGACAGUUCGGUCCCUAUCUGCCGUGGGCGCUGGAGAACUGAGGGGGGCUGCUCCUAGUACGAGAGGACCGGAGUGGACGCAUCACUGGUGUUCGGGUUGUCAUGCCAAUGGCACUGCCCGGUAGCUAAAUGCGGAAGAGAUAAGUGCUGAAAGCAUCUAAGCACGAAACUUGCCCCGAGAUGAGUUCUCCCUGACUCCUUGAGAGUCCUGAAGGAACGUUGAAGACGACGACGUUGAUAGGCCGGGUGUGUAAGCGCAGCGAUGCGUUGAGCUAACCGGUACUAAUGAACCGUGAGGCUUAACCUU
rnacentral:rRNA from 1 species